rnacentral:lncRNA from 1 species
CUCGUUCAUGUUGUUGAUCGGAGUUUUGAAAGUUCGUGGAAGUAUUUAAAAAGCGCCCUGUACAGAUUAUAUGUCAAAUCAUGGCUUCUCCACCUGUUUCCAUGUUGUCUGCUGUUGGAAGAACAUCUAUGAGGGACUGUGAAUAGAAUCUUUAUCUUCUGCUUAUAUACAACACUUACUCAUGGGCCAGUGGCACAAUUUCUAGCUUUACAAGGAUAUGAUGGUGUUUGAUAAGUUGAUGACAAUGAAACUAAUGACCAUGUUAACAUCAGAGGAAAAGCAAACUGGGAGAAGAAAGGACAACAUUGUUUUCGAUCUUGACGGCCUGCGUAGACAUAGGACCAGGAAGGGGAGCUAGGAGUGGGAGAAGUGCCUGUGACUGAUAUGCACUAUCAGAUAGAAAUCCAGUUCAAAAGGAAAUCUGAAAUAGUGAAAUAGCAGAAAUCAUGACUUACAUACUGUGUAAUCUGCUCUAAAACACAAACAUUUGAAUUUAAAAUGUGUUAAAUGCAAAACAGUUCUACUUACAAAAUGAAUCUUUCAGUAAAUUCUAAAUGCAGCUGAAAAGUGAUAUACAUGAAAUGUGUGAAAACAGUGCAAGUUAAGUUUGAUUUUUUGUUGUAUACAAAACUGAAGAACUUGUAUCCAAUUCAUUUUCUGGAAGCACAGUGUUAUUGGAAUUUUUUCAGAUAAUUUAAAAUUCUACAAGGUGAAGAAAUUUCAAAUAGUAUCUCGAGAAAAAAAGUUUGCACAAUGAAUUGUUUUUCAAAAAUUUGUAGUUGUUUGUUCAUUGUUUUGCCAGUCCAUUACACUUAAACUUUACUUUAUUUAUUCUUAAUAUUUUUGUGAAUGGAUUAGAUUACUCAUUCACAAGGCAAAAUCAAGAAUUUGUUGGUUAAGGUUAAUGUUGUCUCAAGCUAAGUGAUGGGCAGACUUUAUCCAUUUGUAGUGAUUUUGAGAAUAAUUAAAAUAAUUUGUCACAUAAAUCAAUAUUAAAUGACCUGGCUGAAAGUUAUAUAUGAAAAAAAAAUGUAUUUUGUUCAGAUUGUUCUACAUAGAACUUUUUUGCAAGAUUUUUUAUUAAAAUCAUUUUCGGAAACUGCAUAAAAGAUGCCGCAAUUGGACCUUUAUAACUUUACUAUUUGAACUAUAAGAAUAGCUAUCCUACUCGAUACGGCAUCAGCUUUGCGUCACACCUUGGUUAAGUUUUUGGUACCAGUUUACAUUUUGGCAAAACCUUUGGGGAUAAAGGUUUGAAACUUUCAACACUUGUUAUCAUCACCAUAUCCAAUUUUAGGCAAGGGCACAUAACUCUAUCAAGGACUUUUGCUGAAUUAGGGUACCUUUUAUUUCCUACUAGUUCAUAUUUUGUGUAAACUGUUUGACAUAUGACAUUGAAACUUUUAUCACUUGAUUAUUAUUAUACCAUAGUCUGUAUCUGUAGGUAAGAGUACAUAACUCUUACAAGUAUUUUGGCUAAAUUAUGACUCUUUGGACUUGGAAAUUGGUACAAUUUCUUACCAGUCCAUGUUUUGUGAAAACUGUUUGAUGUGUGGCUUUGAAACUUUGAACACUUGUUUAUUAUAUGAUUGCCAUCUGUAAGUAAGUGUUCAUAACUCUGUCAACUAUUUUGGCUGAAUUAUGGCCUUUUUGUACUUAGAAAUUGGUUCAGUUUGCGUACAAGUACGUGUUUGUCAAAACUAUUUGACAUAUGGCUUUGAAACUUUGAACACUUACUUACUUACUAUCAUGAUUUCCAUCUGUAGGCAAGAGCAGAUAACUCUGUCAACGAGUUUGGAUAAAUUAUGGUCUUUUUUGGAGUUGGAAAUUGGUUCAGUCAAACUUAUUGGAAUGAUUAAGCAAGAUAUUCCAUUAAAUAACAAUAAAUCUUGUGCAGAAUGUAGUAUACUAAAUUUGAAAUAUUGCAGAAAAUUUACAUUCCUGCUGCAUUUUUACCAAUAUCUAAAUUUUAUUCUCAACCGUUUUAGAUCACAUUUCUGUGUCAAAUACACAUUCCCUGCUAAACUUUUUGAAAGGAAGAUGUUGAAAAAUUUCACCCAAACUGUGGGUGAGUAACUUUAAGAUUUUAGCUAGACUGUACAAACUAUAUGCAGAGCUAUCCUACUUGUUUUCUGUCAGCAUCUAAGAUCAGAUUUCACAGACCAAAGUGUGGUAUCGAACCAGUAUUUCUUGAAUUAUUUAAAGGAAUUUUAGGCAGUUUCACUCAUUAAUGGCUAUUAUUCAAUGCUUUUUGUUCAAACAUAAAGUAAUUGUAUAGGGAUAACGCAUGUUUUUCGUGCUACAACAUCUCCAGAAUCCCGAGGGAUUGGUUGGUACCCAAGCCAGGUACCAAUGAUUCCCGAGGGAUCCUGUAGAUGUUAUAACACGAAAAUAACAUGCGCUUACGCUAUUCUGGCAUAAAACGCAAAACCAAGUAAAUGAAUAUAUUGUCCCUCAACGUCAUUAAAUUCCCAUGAAAUGCGUGGUAAAGUUUGUUUUAUCACGUUCACGUCAUUUCCUUAUGAAUUAUUCGUUUUGGGGCCGUAAUAUGUUUACGCUUUGCCACGGAACGCGCAUAAA